UUUACACAGAGAUGAGGCUGCACAGUGAAAACCUACAAUGGAAUCACCCUUGAUGAGGCGUUUGUUGCCCCUUUUCCCUCCCGGUCCACGGGGCUUGACAAAUGCCUGCUUUAAAGUAUGCUCCAUGGGGUGCACCUCCUCAUACAGGAAGUCUUCUGUCAGACCAUCACCACUGUCUAUCUCCAUCUAAGCAGCUGCUGUGAGAGGAGCUGGGGAGGAGCAGGAGGACCUGUGGCGAAGAUAUCCCUGGAAACACACGUCUUCCUAGAAACACAGAGACACCAAUGGGUUGGUUGUGAGUGGCAGGCCAUCAGUUAUUAUGCAGGAAGGCCCAUACUGACCUCCACUGUCCCAAAUACUUCGUCUUUGAUGUGACCUCCUCCAAACUCUUUCUUCAGUGUGGCACGAGUCGCUGCAUACACCAUCUUCUGCCUCACCUGGAGAACACCAGGACAGACACAGCGACAAAAAACCUUCACACAGUUUUACUGGUUUUCUGUAGCAGUGGUUCUUUUCAAAAAUAAAGCAUUUGUGAGUGGGGAAAAAAAGCCUGUA